AGAUUAGAAGCUAAAUGAGCGAUCUCAUUGUUAAUGAGAUAGAUAUUUUUUUUUU
rnacentral:tRNA from 1 species